UGAGAAUUCCAAUCGAUCUAAUGCAUUCCACGCUUUUAUACUUAUAGCGGCUACCUUCAAGCAUCAUUAUAAAUUAUUCUUCUCGAAGCAUCCUUCCAAUUCCAAUGACUCUGAUCAUCAAUACUGUUACUUCCAUCCAGAUAACCAUGUAUAAGGAAAUCAAACGGGAUCCGAAACAAUUGAUUGGAUAUGGUGGAAUGUCGUCUUCGUAUUCAGCUACUAUUAUUGCUGUUACUACGGCAGUUGGACUUCGUUUAUUUUUUUUGUUUUCAAUAUUUCGUUCUUCCUCUUUUAGAUUCUCUGAUUAUGAUGGGUCAUUGUUGUAUUUUUAAAGAUCUGAAGAUGGAGCAAGAAACCAGUGUCUAAUACUGGGGCAAUUUUAUUCUUUUGACUGUCAUGGUUCCGUUGAAACAUGUGCAUAUGUGAGUGCUAUAAAAAUAUGGUUGGUGUCAAACUUAAAAUUGCUAUAGUUAGUGUGUAUAUACAAUGAAUAUGUGUAUGUGCUAGAAGCAUGAACACAUAUAAUAUCUGUAAAAGUCACUGUCUCCAGGUUUUUACUGUCUAUAUAAGCUUUUGGUUUUUGCUUUCUUAGAAUAUAGUGUUGUUAAUAUUUAAUGAUUGUGAUGGUUGCAUCAUAUUAGAAAUCCUAACAUGCAUGCAUAUGACCUCAAUUUGCAUACUUUAGUCUUUUUUGAAGAUUUCAAAUGUCAGUUUUCACUUAUACAUGCAACAGAAAGAGAUAAUAACAUGGAGGAUUAUUUUGUGAACUAUAAUUUCAAUGCAGGAUUUAGGUAUGAAGUCUGUUGGUGUGAAAGUGGCAAAAGAAUAUGGAUCAAUAGAGGUAGUGUAAGCUUAUCAUUGGUUUCUAUAUGAUAAAUAUUUGUAUGUUCAUUUAUUGUUAUUUGUAUUUCGCUCAGGUUGAUGAAUACUCUCAAACACGGGUUCCUUAUAUUUUUAUCACCGAGUUGUCUUUGGCUAUUUUAACAGUAUGUGAAGCCCUGAAAGAACAAAUGCUUUUGAUGAAUGAAAAAAGACUCCUUUCAGUCUUAUCUGCCACCACUGAACUCAUUGAUGCCCUUUCAGAUCAACGCUCAAAUUCACACACUGGAUUAUCACUUCAAAUUCAAUGAUUUGAUUAAUUGAAAUAAGUUUAUUCCUUUUUAACCUUUCGAGUUUUGAUUUACCCUUUUGCUUCAUUUCAC